rnacentral:lncRNA from 1 species
UUCAAUUUCACCCAUGGCCGCUAUUGCAAAAACGAAACCUACGAAAACGGUGUUGUUGCUGAGCUUUUGGGCAAGACAAGUAUAAUACCUAUGAUCCGGCGAGUUUUCGGCAACACAAAAACUAGAAACCAACUCGAAACUCGGAGCUGGAUUCUAAUAAUGUGCUUCAUCUCUCUUGGCUUAAAUAUGGCCCUUUCAAUGUCUCCUGCUUUGUGUGGAAACUUCUUCGGCGGCGCAUAGCGGUAAAGGAUGAGCUCACCCAUAGGAAUGCUGGACAAGAUUCGUUGGACUGUAUACUUUGCAUCAACAACAAUGAUAACAUUGAUCAUUUGUUUAUGCACUGCCCUUUUACUCAUAAGGUUUGCCUUGCUUUAUACUCAUGGUUGAACUACUCGUGUUGUAAUGUGAAUUUCAUUAAGGAGGCUCUCUAGUAUCAUCAUUCCAUCUCUCCGAAGAAAAAGUUGGCUCCUAGGGUUUUACUCAGAGGGGGGAAUAUCAGUUUUACUCAGAUUAUCCACAAUAUAAAAAUUAAAUCAUGGAUUUGGUUCACAAAAUGUCGGAAAAAUGACUCUUUUUGUUCCUUUAAUAUUUGAUGUAUAUCACCAUUUACCUUAAUCUCCACUCACUAUAAUUUGUAAUGUCU